rnacentral:rRNA from 1 species
CCUACGGGUGGCAGCAGUGAGGAAUAUUGGUCAAUGGGCGCGAGCCUGAACCAGCCAAGUCGCGUGAGGGAAGAAGGUCCUAUGGACUGUAAACCUCUUUUCUCGGGGAGCAAAAGACGCCACGCGUGGCGUUCCGAGAGUACCCGAAGAAAAAGCAUCGGCUAACCCCGUGCCAGCCGCCGCGGUAAUAGGGGGGAUGCGAGGGUUACCCGGAUUGAUUGGGUUUAAAGGGAGCGCAGGCGGAAGAUAAAGGUAGCGGUAAAAUUGAGAGGCUCAACCUCUCCGAGCCGUUGAAACUGGUUGUCUGGAGUGAGUGAGAGGGAUGCGGAAUGCGUGGUGUAGCGGUGAAAUGCAUAGAUAUCACGCAGAACUCCGAUUGCGAAGGCAGCUUACGAAGCCAUAACUGACACUGAAGCACGAAAGCGUGGGGAUCAAACAGGAUUAGAUACCCGGGUAGUC